UUCAUGUAGGGGCACUGGACUACCUAAAGUUGGAGGAAGGGACCCUUACGUGUCUCCAGAAGCCUUCCUUUGCAUUCCUGUGAGAUCUGACAGUUGUGGGCAGAAGGCCUGCAGGUCCAGGGCGGAGCAGGGGCCUUCACCGUCUGCUGAGGAACUUACUGUGUCUCUGUUUGAUUGAGCCUGGGCAUGAGAUAAAACACGAGGUCAUCUGCAAUGGCGCUGGUGCUGUGGCUGUAUCAGCAUGGCUCUGGGUGAUUCUUCGGGGCAGGCAAUAGUUCAGGGAGGACUUACAAGCAAGCUCUGGAACUUGAAGUCUCAAGAGAUGACAAAUAGUCAAUUCUCAAAAAAUGAAGAAAAGGAAAACUGGUUUCUUCAUGUUUGCUAACCCUAUCUAGAGCUAUGGUUUGGGCCUAUAAAUUCACUGUGUUUAAAUCCUCAUUGCACUGAUUUCUGUCUUCCGGAAAAUGACUUCAUGGUGUUUAUGUCUCUGAACCAUCCUGUCAGAGAAGAUCUUACUACUCCUAUUUUUUUUUCUUUCAAGAUGGAGUCUCGCUCCG